UGAGCCUGGCUGCACCUCUCCUAGACCCCAUUUAAGGGCUGACUGCCCCUAGGGAAGGAUUCUUUCUGGAAAUUCCUUCCUUUAGAGUUUUUCUGCAAGCCUAGGAUACAGAUAUAUCACGAACCAUCUCCUCCAGCAACUGGAGCAAGACAUUGUGUUAUUUGACACUUCAUCACAGGGAUCUCUAUUCCUGUCAUUGCAGAAGUGGGAUUGAUGUUUGAAGUUGUGGUGCUCAGAACUUUCCCAGGGUAUGUAAACACCAAGUAAUGACAUCUGGAGGUGAUAAAAAUGUAGCUUCACAGGCAGUCUGUGCUGUCAGCCUCCAGAAUGGAAACGUGGACACAAUUGGAAAAGUACUGCUUAUGUUGUAUUGCACCUUCAGAUCAGACUAUAAGGGGCAGGAGAGACAUGUAUACCUAUGUAAAUACAUCUCAGAUUGUUAAGCUUCACCAGAAAACAGACCUCAAGGAAGAAAACCAAUUACUUCACUAUGAUGCUUUGAAGUAGAUCACAUUCACCAGCACCAGAACGGCGUGUGAGUCAAUCACUCCUGGAGGAAAAAGUUCCUUGAUUUUACCUGGAGGAAAUUUUGGACAACAGAGAAGCAAUUAAAGCUGAUACUCCUGUCUCUUUCCCAACAACCCUAAGAAAUAUGGCUCCAAGAAGCACCUCCAAUACUCAAAAAUACACAGGAAGGGACAACAGUGGUGCAUAUACUUACCAGGAAGCUGGGGUCAGUGCCACAGACAGUACAGUUA